UACGUAGGUGGCAAGCGUUGUCCGGAAUUAUUGGGCGUAAAGCGCGCGCAGGUGGUCCUUUAAGUCUGAUGUGAAAGCCCACGGCUCAACCGUGGAGGGUCAUUGGAAACUGGGGGACUUGAGUGCAGGAGAGAAGAGUGGAAUUCCACGUGUAGCGGUGAAAUACGUAGAGAUGUGGAGGAACACCAGUGGCGAAGGCGACUCUUUGGCCUGUAACUGACACUGAGGAGCGAAAGCGUGGGGAGCGAACAGG
rnacentral:rRNA from 1 species